UACGUAGGGGGCUAGCGUUGUCCGGAUUUAUUGGGCGUAAAGAGCGUGUAGGCGGCCAGGUAGGUCUGGUGUGAAAACUCGAGGCUUAACCUCGAGAUGUCAUCGGAAACCAUCUGGCUAGAGUCCGGAAGAGGAGAGUGGAAUUCCCGGUGUAGCGGUGAAAUGCGCAGAUAUCGGGAAGAACACCUAUGGCGAAGGCAGCUCUCUGGGACGGUACUGACGCUGAGACGCGAAAGCGUGGGGAGCGAACAGG
rnacentral:rRNA from 1 species